GGGAAUGGUUGCUAAACAAGACACCCUUGUCCAAGCAAACACGUACAACUACAUAAAAUCCUCAUGCAUCCUCAUCUAUUUCUUUCCCAACCUUUCACCUACCCUCCACCAAAGUAAGUAGUAACCCAGGCAAGGCCUGUACUUCUUUGGCCAUAUGGGGUGGCUCAAGUCCCUCCUCUCCCCGUUGAAGAAAAUCUGGAAUCGUCUUCACUCCAGCCACAGAGAGCGCAGGGGAAUUUACAUAUUGUACAAGGACGUGAAGUCCUGCCCAUGCGAAGAUGUGCAGGUUCUAUGGUCAAUACUGGUCGAGUCACGAACACCUGCUUCUUUGCCGUCAACUUGAUCGUAGAGCAAACCAUGAGCAAGAACGAUGAUGCAUGCAUCAUGUUGAUGAUCAGCACUUCAUGUACAUAAGUACUAUAUAUAUAUGCUACAUUAUUAUACUUACGACAAAUCCAACCUUUUUCUAUUUCUUACUCAUGUACUUUCUGUAAAUGAUCAUCAUGUGCCAUGCAUCUGUACCUACACUAGUACUUCUUCUUCAUGAUGUACAGGCUUGCUGACAAUUUAA